rnacentral:lncRNA from 1 species
AUGGAGCAGAUCCUCCUGGAAAUUGUGCUAAGGUACAAUGGUACUAUGGAAAAUAAGGAGGCAAUUGCUGACAGCCAACAUGACUUCACUAAGCACAGACUGUGCCUGACAAAUCUGGUAGCCUUCUACAAUGGUGUUACAGCAUUGGUGGACAGGGGAAGAGCAGCUGACAUCAUUUACCUGGACUUGUGCAAAGCAUUUGACACUGUCCUGUUGAGGACUGGCUCACUGCGCGUAAUCAUAUUGAUCUCGUGCAGCUGCAAGAUAAGGAAAUGGCGGAUUACCGCACCCAGCUGGUCUAGAAAAACAAGAGCAAAGGCACGUACGCAAGGCUUGUCUGGGAACUCUUGUGAGAAAUCCCAGGCAGCUUGUCUGGGAACUCUUGUGAGAAAUCCCAGGCAAUUAGAAACAAUGAUAGUAGAGGGCAUACUGCCCUGGGAGUUAUAGUUAGAUUAGAAAGGGGAACUAGCGGAUAGAAGAAUGCGGAACUAACAGAUAGGGCAGUAGAUGACGCUUACCAAUAAGGAGCUUGGCUUUUGCAAUAUGUAUGAGCUAAUUAUCCUGUACACGAUAAAAGACAAUUGAGCUAUCCAUUAAAGCUGAAGCAUACUUAACACUCAUAUUGAGCGUUUGUGUCUUCCCUCCGUCGACAACACUGUCCUACCCAAUAUUCUUGUCUCUAGAUUGGAGAGACAUGGAUGGGUGGACCACUCGGUGGAUAAGGAAUUGACUGGAUGGUCCCACUCAAAGUGUUGUGGUCAAUGGCUCGAUGUCCAUGUGGAAAUCAGCAACAAAUGGUGUCAGUAUUGAGACCAGUGUUGUUUAACAUCUUUGUUGGCAACAUGGACGGUGAGAUUGAAUGCACUGUCAGAAAGUUUGCCAAUGACACCAUGCUGUGUGAUGUGGUCAACACGCUGGAGGGAAGGGAUGCCAUCCAGAGGGACCUGGACUGGCUUGAGAGGUGGGCAUGUGCAAACCUCAUGAAGUUCAGCAAGGCCAAGUGCAAGGUCCUGCAUCUGGUUUGGGGCAAUCCCAAGAAGAAAUACAGGCUGGUCUGAGAAGGGAUGGAGACCAACCCUUAUGAGAAGGCCUUGGGUGUGUUGGUUGACAAGAAUCUCAAUGUGAUCCAGCAAUGUGCAGUUGCAGCACAGAAAGCCAACUGUAUCCUGGGCUGCAUCAAAAGAAGGAUGGUCAGUAGCUCAAGGGAGGUAAUUCUCCACCUCUACUCUGCUCUCAUUUGACCCCACUGGAAGUACUGUAUUCAGAUCUGGGGCCCCCAGUACAAGAAAGACAUGGACCUGUUGGAGCAAGUCCAGAGGAGGACCAUGAGGAUGCUGGAGAACCUUUCCUGUGAAGACAGGCUGAGGGAACUGGGGUUGUUCAGCCUAGAGAAGAGGAAGCUCCGAGGAGACCUCACAGAACCUUCCAGUACAUAAAGGGGUCCUACAAGAAAGCAAAAGGAGGAUUCUUUGUCAGGAAGUGUAAUGAUAGGACAAAGUGUAAUGGUUUUAAAGUAAAAGAGAGUAGAUUUAGAUUAGAUAUUAGGAAGAAAUUCUUUAUUAUGUGGGUGGUGAGGCACAGGAACAGGUUGCCCAGAGAAGCUGUGGAUGCACCAUCCACGUGGUAUGAUUCAAGGCCCGGCUGUAUGGGGCUUCCCGGUCUAGUGGAAGAUGUCCCUGCCCAUGUGACAGGGAGAUUGGAUUUAGAUGAUCUUUAAGGUGUCUUCCAAUACAAACCAUUCUAUGUUUCUAUUCUAUGAUUCUAUGAAUAAAUGUUCUGUGUCUGCAUACA